UCAGAGCCGAAGCUGUGCUCCCCAACAGGUCGCUUUAUCUGAUCUGCAGCGUGUGUAAACUGGCCGGCCUGGUGGCGCGUCAGUGCCGAAGCUGCUUCUCGUCCGCCAGCAGCACCCGCUUGUGCACCUGAUCGGAGCGCGAGUCAGCCGAGUGGGAGCGCUCGAUCUUCACUGCUGUCAGCCUAGGGAAAGCCUUGUAGAAUAAUUUGUUAAACUAACAGAAGGACGGCCGAUGAUGAUAAGAGCGACGAGUGCAUCAAGUGUGUGUGCACAACAGAGGAAGUGAUUCAAAAAGUCUUCGCCUACAUCUCCGGCGAUGACGCAAGCGGAGAAAAAUCGUCGCUGCCAUCCGAGUGUGCGGCGAUGGACGAGUCGGUGCGCGCGGCCCGCGUAGAUGGAGAUUAAUACAAAUCCUCGUAAAUAGUGUUUCCUUGAGCUGCGACAGAGAUAACAACGUGACAAUUUUGUAUCGAUAGCGACCCGCUGCGAGAACACCUUGUUUGCCAUCAGCGAGACGCAGAGAACUCGGAAACGAAGAGGCGCAGAACGGCGAGGAUCAGCAGAUUUAUCAGCCGAACAAAGCAGCCUGAUUGGAAAUUGCUUCUUUUCCAAGUCGUUGGAGGAAAAAUACAGAUGACUUUGGCAGAAAAAAGUAUACGCCAUGAAACACCACCUUCAAG